CUCCUUGAAAGGGGAGAGUGCCUUCGGGAGCGUCAAGACAGGUGGUGCAAUGGCUGUCGUCAGCUCCGUGUCGUGAGAUGUUGGGCUAAGUCCCGCAACGAGCGCAACCCUCGUUUCUAGUUGCCAUCAUUAUGUUGGGCACUCUAGAGAGACUGCCGGUGACAAACCGGAGGAAGGUGGGGAUGACGUCAAGUCAGCAUGCCCCUUACGCCUUGGGCUACACACGUACUACAAUGGUCGGGACAAAGGGCAGCAAGCUAGCGAUAGUAAGCGAAUCUCAUCAAACCCGGCCUCAGUUCAGAUUGCAGGCUGCAACUCGCCUGCAUGAAGGAGGAAUCGCUAGUAAUCGCAGGUCAGCAUACUGCGGUGAAUCCGUUCCCGGGCCUUGUACACACCGCCCGUCACACCAUGGGAGUUGGCCACGCCCGAAGUCGUUAC
rnacentral:rRNA from 1 species